AUAGCGUAUAUUAAAGUUGUUGCAGUUAAAAAGCUCGUAGUUGAAUUUCGGGACUAAUAUGUCGGUCGUGCCUCGGUACGUACUGGUUUAUUGGUUUCUCCUUUCUGAAGAACCAUGAUGUCAUUUAUUUGGUGUCGUGGGGAAUCAGGACUGUUACUUUGAAAAAAUUAGAGUGUUUAAAGCAGGCUCACGCUUGAAUACAUUAGCAUGGAAUAAUGAAAUAGGACGUUUGAUUCUAUUUUGUUGGUUUCUAGGAUCGACGUAAUGAUUAAUAGGGAUAGUUGGGGGCAUUAGUAUUCAAUUGUCAGAGGUGAAAUUCUUGGAUUUAUUGAAGACUAACUACUG
rnacentral:rRNA from 1 species